rnacentral:lncRNA from 1 species
UAACAUGGAAUUUACUAUCCAAAUCAAAAUAUCUACCUACCAUUUCUUCCUUAGGCCCCGUUUGGAUACUCCUGAAAACGUAGCAUAGUUAAACUAUGCUACGGCGGUAGAAAAUAUAUCCUAUGAAGCGUUUGGGAGGAAAACAAGUAACGUAAUUUUUGGAGUAUAGUUAAACUAUAUUCCAAAAAAUGGAGUAAAAGUAUAAUUCACUCUAACCAAAGGAAAAAAAAUUCCAUCAUUCUUGAGCUCCCUUACUCAAAAAAAUGCAUCAACUUCUAACUUUUAAAUUUCAACAUAAAAUUUUCAAUUUCAACAUAGAUUUUAAAUUUCAACAUAGAUUUAAAAUUUAAAAUUUGAAAUAUCACAUUUGAAAUUUUAAAUUAAAAUUUUAAAUUUUAAAUUUUAAAUUUUAAAUUUCAAACUUUAAAUUUCAAAUUUUAAAUUUU